rnacentral:rRNA from 1 species
CGGGCUUGAACUGCUGAGGAAGGCGGCAGAGAUGCCAACGCCCUUCGGGGCCUCAGUGGAGGUGCUGCAUGGUUGUCGUCAGCUCGUGCCGUGAGGUGUCGGCUUAAGUGCCAUAACGAGCGCAACCCCUCCCCGUAGUUGCCAUCGGGUGAUGCCGGGCACUCUGCGGGCACUGCCGCCGCAAGGUGGAGGAAGGUGGGGAUGACGUCAAAUCAGCACGGCCCUUACGUCCGGGGCUACACACGUGUUACAAUGGGGGGUACAGAGCGCCGGCGGCCGGCAACGUCCGUCCAAUCGCGAAAGCCCCUCCCAGUUCGGACCGGGGUCUGCAACCCGACCCCGCGAAGCUGGAUUCGCUAGUAAUCGCGCAUCAGCCAUGGCGCGGUGAAUACGUUCCCGGGCC